rnacentral:rRNA from 1 species
UACGUAGGGGGCAAGCGUUGUCCGGAUUUAUUGGGCGUAAAGAGCGUGUAGGCGGUUUGGUAGGUCCGUUGUGAAAACUCGAGGCUCAACCUCGAGACGUCGGCGGAAACCAUCUGGCUAGAGUCCGGAAGAGGAGAGUGGAAUUCCUGGUGUAGCGGUGAAAUGCGCAGAUAUCAGGAAGAACACCCGUGGCGAAGGCGGCUCUCUGGGACGGUACUGACGCUGAGACGCGAAGCGUGGGGAGCGAACAGG